GAUGAAGAACGCAGCGAAAUGCGAUAAGUAAUGUGAAUUGCAGAAUUCAGUGAAUCAUCGAAUCUUUGAACGCACAUUGCGCCCGCCAGCAUUCUGGCGGGCAUGCCUGUUCGAGCGUCAUUUCAACCCUCGCGCCCCCCCGGGGGCCUCGGUGUUGGGGGACGGCACACCAGCCGCCCCCGAAAUGCAGUGGCGACCCCGCCGCAGCCUCCCCUGCGUAGUAGCACACACCUCGCACCGGAGCGCGGAGGCGGUCACGCCGUAAAACGCCCAACUUUCUUAGAGUUGACCUCGGAUCAGGUAGGAAUACCCGCUGAACUUAAGCAUAUCAAUAAGCGGAGGA
rnacentral:misc_RNA from 1 species